rnacentral:lncRNA from 1 species
CAUGUCACCCUCUGGGUUCUCUCUCUCCCCUCCCCUUGAGUCACUGCCCAGUGGGCCCGUGUCAUCAGCCACUCUCUCCUUCCAGCGCCGACGUCAUUACUCCAAUUAAUUGCGCAAUAAUUCAUUUAAGGUUUUCUGUUUAGUUUAAAAACACAGUUAAACUUCUAAAAUUCAUAACUAAUUCAUCUAGUCUCUGUUUAGGCCCAUUCGAAUUUCAUUAAAUCUAGAAAAAUGCCAAGAAUCCAUUAAAAAUAGUUUGUUUCUCUGUUUUAGUAGUUUUAUAGCCUAUAUUUGCCUGUUUGCUUUGUUUGUCGUUGGUUUUUCGCCCAACGAAGCGUCGAUCGUUCUCGAAGUCGUCGCCGAAAUUCCUUGUGGGUCUGAGCAAGGCAAUUGGCACCAGUCUUUGAUCAUAUUAAACCUAUGAUUAUAAAAUUCUCCGCUUUUACAUUGAAAUAUGUAUUUAUUUAAAUGUAUUUACUUUAUUUAUCUAUUGAGCAAUUACCUUUAUAUCCGUUGAUUCUCACUUAUUAUUAUUGUCAUCCCAGGGUUAAUUUGACUAGAAUGCUUAGUUCAACUAGCUCACCUGUUAACAUUUAAUUACUGGUAGACUUGAUAGACCUUUAAUGGUUGUGAUCAUGAUUAAUCUCUCGAUGUGGAUUAAAUACAACUAAAAUAUUGCUUAUGGUGGGCUAUGGGUGCAUGGUUUUCAGAGUCACGCCCAUGGCAAGUAAGGACCGGUUCUCGGGAAACACUGAAAGUAUUACACGUACUAACCACAAGUCGAGUAUGGGCAAGGUGGGAUUUGAAGCAUGGUUUCGAACUAUUUGACGUACCAAGGCAAGGGUGGACGUGAUGGAGUAUGGAUGGGAGUCGUGGUGUAACGAUGGCCUAUGCUGCUUCUGGAUUCACCAAGGCACAAGAGGGACUACCCAACUUGGUGUAAAGGAGGGGGUGAAACUUGAAGCGCGGUGCGAUUGGAUAGAGAGGGUUAUGUGACGGGUCCUAUCACAGUAACUGUGUCUUGUGGGUAAAGUUUUACAGCUCUUAUCAGAGUAAAACUAUUCGAAUAGCCAUGCCCGCGGUUAUGGGGCGAACUGCCAGAUUCACUAGGAUUAGCCGAAUCUUUAAUAACCUGAUGAACUUGAAACUGGUUUGACCCUGUCAACGUACGUGGUGUAACGUUGGCAGUGCUUUGGGUCUUUUGCAACGUGGUGUAACGUUGGGCAGAGGGUUGACCCUGUCACUACGUGGUGUAACGUUCGACAGCGGUUUGGGCCUGUUGCAACGUGGUGUAAUGUUGGACAGUGGAUGGUUAUUUUAAAUGCUUACUUUACUUUUUAUUCAGGCUAUUUAAUUUACCUGUUUUGCUAACUACUGUCGCUUUUAUGCAAUUUAACCUUAGCUUAUCCUUGAUACCCAAUUGCAUUCAUUAUUCUCCUCUCUUGGGUGUUACUUGUUGAGUACGCUGGUUUGUAUUUAGCCUUGCUUAAUUUUUCCCCACCAGAGCAAGUGCCAGAGUUUCAGUCAGAAGGUUGGUCUCAAGGUUGAAGUGAGGUUCUGUCCGCCGUCAAGAAUGCAUGUGGUGUGGAGCCAUCUUCGUCAGCUGAAGCUGAAGAUUAGAUGUUUUAGUUCGUUUUCUUUUUCUGCUGCAUUUCAAUAGACAAUUGUUUUUAUUUGUUUUUAAGUCAUGGAACUGUGUAUUAAUUUGUCAUAGUGUGUAUUCGGGCUGAUUUCUAGACCGAGAUUAAUACAUGCUAUAGUUCGAAAAUUGGUGUAAAUUUCUGGACGUGAC